AGGGUUUGAUCCUGGCUCAGAACGAACGCUGGCGGCGUGGCUAAGACAUGCAAGUCAAACGGUCCGGCACUUAUUUGUUUACAAAUUCGUGCUGGAUAGUGGCGUAAGGGUGAGUAAUGGAUAGGUAACGUACCCUGGGCUUCGGGAUAGCGCCGUUCGCCUUCGGGCGAACUUCCGAAAGGGGCGGUAAUACCGAAUAAUAUCAUUGGUCGAUAGACCAAUGAUUAAAGAUUUAUCGGCACAGGAGCGGCCUAUCUCCUAUCAGCUUGUUGGUGAGGUAAUGGCUCACCAAGGCUAUGACUGGUAGCGGGACUGAGAGGUUGGCCCGCCACAUCGGGACUGAGACACUGCCCGGACCUCCACGGAGGGCUGCAGUAACGAAUCUUGCGCAAUGGGCCAAAGCCUGACGCAGCGACGCCGCGUGCGGGAUGAAGUCUUUCGGGAUGUAAACCGCUGUCAGGGGUAAGAAAGUUCACUUCGGUGGAUUGAUCUAACCCAGAGGAAGUCACGGCUAACUUCGUGCCAGCAGCCGCGGUAAGACGAAGGUGGCAAGCGUUGUUCGGUAUUACUGGGCUUAAAGAGUGUGUAGGCGGAAAGGUAAGCGUCGUGUGAAAGUCCCCGGCUUAACCGGGGAAUUGCUCGACGAACUACUUUUCUUGAGGCAAGUAGGGGUGCACGGAACUCUUGGUGGAGCGGUGGAAUGCGUAGAUAUCAAGAGGAACGCCAGUGGUGAAAACGGUGCACUGGGCUUGUUCUGACGCUGAGACACGAAAGCGUGGGGAGCGAACGGGAUUAGAUACCCCGGUAGUCCACGCCGUAAACGAUGUCUACUAGUUGUGGAAGUUCUGACACUUGCACUGCCGAAGCAAAAGUGUUAAGUAGACCGCCUGGGGAGUACGGCGCAAGGCUAAAACUCAAAGGAAUUGACGGGGGCUCACACAAGCGGUGGAGCAUGUGGAUCAAUUCGAAGCACGCGUAGAACCUUACCUGGGUUUGACAUGCUGAUGCUUGCGAGAAACGGCUAAGCUGCCCUUCGGGUGAAACUUGCACAAGUGCUGCAUGCUGUCGUCAGCUCGUUUCUGAGAAUGUCGUAAGUCCUUACGAGCGAAACUGCGUAGUGGCCACGAUGCCGGGACUCUAGCGGACGCGGGUACGAGAGGUGGGACAGCCUCAGUCACAUGGCUUAAUGCCAAGGCUUCCAC
rnacentral:rRNA from 1 species